GAACACAAAAUGGCGACACGUGGUUAGCAUUCGUCGCCAACGAGAAAUUGGGGUCGGCCCGAAAGCUCUAGAAUGCACCCCUCUUCCUCCCCGGGGCCUUCCACCUCCGCGAGUUUUAUGACUUAAAAAAGCCCACAGGCUGGUCUGAAGAGGAAGACAAACAUAAAGAUGAAGUGCUUAAUUCAAGGUCACACAAUGUCGGGGAUGGACCUCCAGAUUUCCUUACUGACCUGCAUUAUCUUGUGGAUACCUGAGUGAAUUCCACACCACCCAUUUUAUAGAUGAAACCACUGAGACAUGGAGCAAUUGACUGAGUAGUCACUGCCCCACCCCUGCCUGGAGCCUCACACAUGACUCGCCUCCUCUCAGUGACCACAGGUGAGACGUGGUCUUGUAACACAGUGGUUAAGAAUGUGACUUUGGAGCCAGCCUGCUAGGGGCUGAAUUCUGACUCAGCCAUUUACUAACUGUGUGACCUUAGGUGGAGUCUCACUCUGUAGCCCAAGCUGGAGUGGCGUGAUCUCGACUCACUGCAACCUCCGCCUCCUGGGAUCAAGUGAUUCUCGUGCCUCAGCCUCCUGAGUAGCCGGGACUACAGGUCACAGAAUUUUCCACACUCCUUGACAGAGGGGACCAGAUGUGCAGAGGUAAUGAAUACCAGGGAAUCAGGAAACCACUGGAUCAGUUCUUUGAGCCACAGAACAACACUCAUCCCAGCAGCUGGGAAGCUAUCUGCAAAAGUCCAUCUGCAGAAAGGGCUUCCUGGUCUUGCGUGUGGCUGGGCCAUUUCUCUGGAUGCAGGUUUUUCAUUAU
rnacentral:lncRNA from 10 species